rnacentral:rRNA from 1 species
GGGUUGUGAGGUUAAGCGACUAAGCGUACACGGUGGAUGCCCUGGCAGUCAGAGGCGAUGAAGGACGUGCUAAUCUGCGAUAAGCGUCGGUAAGGUGAUAUGAACCGUUAUAACCGGCGAUUUCCGAAUGGGGAAACCCAGUGUGUUUCGACACACUAUCAUUAACUGAAUCCAUAGGUUAAUGAGGCGAACCGGGGGAACUGAAACAUCUAAGUACCCCGAGGAAAAGAAAUCAACCGAGAUUCCCCCAGUAGCGGCGAGCGAACGGGGAGGAGCCCAGAGUCUGAAUCAGUGUGUGUGUUAGUGGAAGCGUCUGGAAAGGCGUGCGAUACAGGGUGACAGCCCCGUACACAAAAAUGCACAUACUGUGAGCUCGAUGAGUAGGGCGGGACACGUGGUAUCCUGUCUGAAUAUGGGGGGACCAUCCUCCAAGGCUAAAUACUCCUGACUGACCGAUAGUGAACCAGUACCGUGAGGGAAAGGCGAAAAGAACCCCGGCGAGGGGAGUGAAAAAGAACCUGAAACCGUGUACGUACAAGCAGUGGGAGCACGCUUAGGCGUGUGACUGCGUACCUUUUGUAUAAUGGGUCAGCGACUUAUAUUCUGUAGCAAGGUUAACCGAAUAGGGGAGCCGAAGGGAAACCGAGUCUUAACUGGGCGUUAAGUUGCAGGGUAUAGACCCGAAACCCGGUGAUCUAGCCAUGGGCAGGUUGAAGGUUGGGUAACACUAACUGGAGGACCGAACCGACUAAUGUUGAAAAAUUAGCGGAUGACUUGUGGCUGGGGGUGAAAGGCCAAUCAAACCGGGAGAUAGCUGGUUCUCCCCGAAAGCUAUUUAGGUAGCGCCUCGUGAAUUCAUCUCCGGGGGUAGAGCACUGUUUCGGCAAGGGGGUCAUCCCGACUUACCAACCCGAUGCAAACUGCGAAUACCGGAGAAUGUUAUCACGGGAGACACACGGCGGGUGCUAACGUCCGUCGUGAAGAGGGAAACAACCCAGACCGCCAGCUAAGGUCCCAAAGUCAUGGUUAAGUGGGAAACGAUGUGGGAAGGCCCAGACAGCCAGGAUGUUGGCUUAGAAGCAGCCAUCAUUUAAAGAAAGCGUAAUAGCUCACUGGUCGAGUCGGCCUGCGCGGAAGAUGUAACGGGGCUAAACCAUGCACCGAAGCUGCGGCAGCGACGCUUAUGCGUUGUUGGGUAGGGGAGCGUUCUGUAAGCCUGUGAAGGUGUGCUGUGAGGCAUGCUGGAGGUAUCAGAAGUGCGAAUGCUGACAUAAGUAACGAUAAAGCGGGUGAAAAGCCCGCUCGCCGGAAGACCAAGGGUUCCUGUCCAACGUUAAUCGGGGCAGGGUGAGUCGACCCCUAAGGCGAGGCCGAAAGGCGUAGUCGAUGGGAAACAGGUUAAUAUUCCUGUACUUGGUGUUACUGCGAAGGGGGGACGGAGAAGGCUAUGUUGGCCGGGCGACGGUUGUCCCGGUUUAAGCGUGUAGGCUGGUUUUCCAGGCAAAUCCGGAAAAUCAAGGCUGAGGCGUGAUGACGAGGCACUACGGUGCUGAAGCAACAAAUGCCCUGCUUCCAGGAAAAGCCUCUAAGCAUCAGGUAACAUCAAAUCGUACCCCAAACCGACACAGGUGGUCAGGUAGAGAAUACCAAGGCGCUUGAGAGAACUCGGGUGAAGGAACUAGGCAAAAUGGUGCCGUAACUUCGGGAGAAGGCACGCUGAUAUGUAGGUGAAGUCCCUUGCGGAUGGAGCUGAAAUCAGUCGAAGAUACCAGCUGGCUGCAACUGUUUAUUAAAAACACAGCACUGUGCAAACACGAAAGUGGACGUAUACGGUGUGACGCCUGCCCGGUGCCGGAAGGUUAAUUGAUGGGGUCAGCGCAAGCGAAGCUCUUGAUCGAAGCCCCGGUAAACGGCGGCCGUAACUAUAACGGUCCUAAGGUAGCGAAAUUCCUUGUCGGGUAAGUUCCGACCUGCACGAAUGGCGUAAUGAUGGCCAGGCUGUCUCCACCCGAGACUCAGUGAAAUUGAACUCGCUGUGAAGAUGCAGUGUACCCGCGGCAAGACGGAAAGACCCCGUGAACCUUUACUAUAGCUUGACACUGAACAUUGAGCCUUGAUGUGUAGGAUAGGUGGGAGGCUUUGAAGUGUGGACGCCAGUCUGCAUGGAGCCGACCUUGAAAUACCACCCUUUAAUGUUUGAUGUUCUAACGUGGACCCGUGAUCCGGGUUGCGGACAGUGUCUGGUGGGUAGUUUGACUGGGGCGGUCUCCUCCUAAAGAGUAACGGAGGAGCACGAAGGUUGGCUAAUCCUGGUCGGACAUCAGGAGGUUAGUGCAAUGGCAUAAGCCAGCUUGACUGCGAGCGUGACGGCGCGAGCAGGUGCGAAAGCAGGUCAUAGUGAUCCGGUGGUUCUGAAUGGAAGGGCCAUCGCUCAACGGAUAAAAGGUACUCCGGGGAUAACAGGCUGAUACCGCCCAAGAGUUCAUAUCGACGGCGGUGUUUGGCACCUCGAUGUCGGCUCAUCACAUCCUGGGGCUGAAGUAGGUCCCAAGGGUAUGGCUGUUCGCCAUUUAAAGUGGUACGCGAGCUGGGUUUAGAACGUCGUGAGACAGUUCGGUCCCUAUCUGCCGUGGGCGCUGGAGAACUGAGGGGGGCUGCUCCUAGUACGAGAGGACCGGAGUGGACGCAUCACUGGUGUUCGGGUUGUCAUGCCAAUGGCACUGCCCGGUAGCUAAAUGCGGAAGAGAUAAGUGCUGAAAGCAUCUAAGCACGAAACUUGCCCCGAGAUGAGUUCUCCCUGACUCCUUGAGAGUCCUGAAGGAACGUUGAAGACGACGACGUUGAUAGGCCGGGUGUGUAAGCGCAGCGAUGCGUUGAGCUAACCGGUACUAAUGAACCGUGAGGCUUAACCUUACAACGCCGAAGCUGUU